rnacentral:rRNA from 1 species
CGAAGGGGGCUAGCGUUGCUCGGAAUCACUGGGCGUAAAAGGGCGCGUAGGCGGCGUUUUUAAGUCGGGGGUGAAAGCCUGUGGCUCAACCACAGAAUGGCCUUCGAUACUGGGACGCUUGAGUAUGGUAGAGGUUGGUGGAACUGCGAGUGUAGAGGUGAAAUUCGUAGAUAUUCGCAAGAACACCGGUGGCGAAGGCGGCCAACUGGACCAUUACUGACGCUGAGGCGCGAAAGCGUGGGGAGCAAACAGGAUU